GCCUGGUGUGGUGGUGCGUGCCUGUAGUCCCAGCUACUAGGGAGGCUGAGGUGGGAGGAUUGCUUGAGCCCAGGAGUUCUGGGCUGUAGAGCAUUAUGCUGAUUGGCUGUCCACACUAAGUUUGGCAUCAAUAUGGUGAUCUCCUGGGAGCGGGGGAACACCAAGUUGCCUAAGGAGGGGUGAACUGGCCCAAGUCAGAAACGGAGCAGGUCAAAACUCCCGUUCUGAUCAGAAGUGGGAUCGUGCCUGUGAAUAGCCACUGUAGUCCAGCCUGGGCAACAUCGUGAGACCCCGUCUCU
rnacentral:SRP_RNA from 1 species